CCCUUAGAUGUUCUGGGCUGCACCCGUGCUACACUGGCAGGUUCAGCGAGCUUCAUGCCCUGAUCUGAAAGGAAUGGGAAAUCUUUUCAAAACCUGCCGUGCUUGGGAUAGAUGUUUGCAAUUAUUCAUCUUCAACGAGGAUUGCCUUGUAAGCGCACGUCAUCAGCGUGCAUUGAAUACGACCCUGUAUUCUGUACACACCGCCCGUCGCUCCUACCGAUUGAAGUUUUCGGUGAGUCGACAGGAGGAUUUUUUUGAAACUGGUUCGCCAGUGGAUUUUAGAUCCAAAUGCCAACGAAUCGAUGGCUUUAGAGGAAGGAGAAGUCGUAACA
rnacentral:rRNA from 1 species